GGCUAAUACCGGAUGGUUGUUUGAAUCCCCUGGUUCAACCGUUAGCGGUGGCUUCGGCAACCACUUACAGAUGGACCCGCGGAGCAUUAGCUCGUUGGUGAUGGAACGGGUCACCAAGGCAACGAUGCGUAGCCGACCUGAGAGGGUGAUCGGCCACCCUGGGACUGAAACACUGCCCAUACUCCUACCGGAGGCCCCAGUAGGGAAUCUUCCUUAAUGUACUAACGUCUGACGGAGCAACGCCUCGUGAGUGAUGAAGGUUUUCGGAUCCUACCGUUCUGUUGUUCGGGAAGAACAAUUACCGUUCCAAUAGGGCGGUACCUUGACGGUACCUAACCAGAAAGCCACGGCUAACUACGUGCCAGCAGCCGGGUUAAUACGUAUGUGGCAAGCGUUGCCCGGAAUUAUUGGGCGUAAAGGGCUCGCAAGCGGAUUCUUAAGUCUGACGUGAAAGCCCCCCUGCUCUUUCGGUUAGGGUCAUUGUAAACUGGGUAACUUGAGUGCAGAAGAUGAGAGUUGCAAUUCCCACGUGUAUCUGGUGAACUGCUUAUAGAUGUGGAGGAACACCCACUGGUGUAAGGCGACUCUCUGGUUCUGUAACUUGACGCUGAGUACGCGAAUUCG
rnacentral:rRNA from 1 species